CUGUUGCACGAAAGAAAUACAAAGAAAAGAAGAGAAAUUUCUCAUUCCUAGAUAUUGGUAUCUAUAAUAUAACACAAAAUGAUUUGUUUGGUGUCCCAAGAAAUUGUGGUUACUUUUUCACUGGCCAAGAUUGCCCUUCCGUGUUUUUGAGUUUAGCCUGCGUUUUCAUGGAUUUUGGGGAAUUUCAUAGAUACCAGGGGCAGAUACGUAGUCUUCUCUCCUCCUGUGUUCUUCACUUUCAUUUCAGAAAAACAAUUCUCUCUUUCAUCAAAACAAAUCUCUCCAUCCAAAUCUCUUCUUUCAUCUUCAUCACCUUUAUCGAUCGUGCUAGAUCGGGUUUCGCACUCUAUAUUUCGAAUUUAGAGUUCAGAGUUUUGAUUUGAUUGAAUAUUCAAUCAUCAUCUAACCUGUAACCCUAAAUUCGAAAUAGGGUGAAUAAAUCGAACCACCAGCACCAUCACCAACUUCGUUCUCUUCCUUGGGCAAAUUAUAAAUUGGAUUAGUUGAUUUAAAUUGGAUUGAUUGGAUUAUGAACUUUAAUCCAACUGAACGCAACAUCCGGAGGAAAAAAGAUUUUUGCUCUACAUCUCUAAAGUGGAGCAUAGAACCAGUAUAGAGGAAGUGAUUCUAGCAUCGUAGUCCAGGAAGGUCCAUCAAAAGGAAGAACUGGACUGGAACUGGAAAUGAUACCAGAAUAUCAACUGACUGAAUCAGUGGAAGAACUAGGCUGACGGUACGGCCUAUCCAGUACCUUAAGAUAUCCGAGUCCUAGAGUUUGUUGUUUUAAACUUAUAUUUCACGGGUUUUUUUUUGUUCCUGCUGUUCCAAUGUCCUAGGUGUCGUUUGGUUUUCCCAUGAUAGUUGAAAAAUUAAUCAACAGUGUCAUGUUCAGUGUAUUUUCUCUUUCUGAGCGGGGUAAUACAGGUUUAUGAAACCAUUGC